CCUACGGGAGGCAGCAGUGAGGAAUAUUGGUCAAUGGCCGGAAGGCUGAACCAGCCAUGCCGCGUGAAGGUCAGUGCCCUAUGGGCGUUAAACUUCUUUUGUGCGGGAGCAAUAAUGGUCACGUGUGGCCAGACGAGAGUACCGUACGAAUAAGCAUCGGCUAACUCCGUGCCAGCAGCCGCGGUAAUACGGGGGAUGCAAGCGUUCUCCGGAUUUAUUGGGUUUAAAGGGUGCGUAGGCUGUGAGGUAAGUCAGCGGUGAAAUGCCGCCGCUCAACGGGGUGAAGUGCCAUUGAUACUGGCUGGCUGGAAUGCGGAUGCCGUGGGAGGAAUGUGUGGUGUAGCGGUGAAAUGCAUAGGUAUCACACAGAACACCGAUUGCGAAGGCAUCUCACGAAUCCGCGAUUGACGCUGAUGCACGAAAGCGUGGGUAUCAAACAGGAUUAGAGACCUGAGUAGUC
rnacentral:rRNA from 1 species